AGUGAUGCCGGACUACAGACCGGCGGAUACGGGUGGUUGCACUGGUUAUUCGUGUUCGCUGGUUUUAAGUGGUGGCUAGGUGGUUAGUGAAUUCCGAAGUGAAAUCUCUUGGCUGAACUCAGAAACUGCCUUAGAUAGUAUUGAUCGUGAGUAUCGUUGAGGUAGGCGGAAUAUGUCAUGUAGCGGUUAAAUGCAUAGAUGUGGCGUAGAACACCAAUGGCGAAGGCAGCUUGCUAAACGAUGAUUGACGCUGAGGCACGAAAGCGUGGGGAUCAAACAGGAUUAGAUACCCUGGUAGUC
rnacentral:rRNA from 1 species